AAAUGAUAUAUCUACAUUGCUUAUUAUAUAAUUCCACUUUUCAGAGCUUAAGUCGGGAGUAUUCACUUUCAAGAAUUUAUUCACAAGCUUUAUUUAACACACGGAAAGAAAAACAUGGGAAUUUUUCCAAUUUUACUUAGGAGAAAUUCCCUUGUUGACAUGGCAAAUUUUACUUUAUCAACAUGGGAAAUUUUACUAGGGAAAAAUGGGAAUAUAACCAUAUUUUAUGGGAAUUUUACCCAUAUAUUAUAGGAAUAUCUUCCAUGUUGCCAUUGGAAAAAUUUCCAUGUAGAAAUGGAAAAAUUGCUUUGUUACACACAAAAAAAGGAAUUCUUGGGUCAAGAAGAAAAUCGUUUCCAAAAAUUAAUUCUUAAAUUAAAAUAUCCUCUUUUCUUGUUUGAAAAAAUUUUCUCUUGUUUCUCCGAACAAGAAAACAACUUGGUUGGCUCAAGAAAAUUUAGCUCUUGGUUUUAGAAGAUACCAACUCAUUCUAAAAACAUUGUUCUCUCGAAUGUAGUCGAUAUCGAUUCAUUUCGAUACAUCGAGUUUUUAAACGGAGGCACAUUUAACUUACUCCAAGUUAGGUUAUUUAUCCUGGCUUCAUUGACAGCAUCAACUGCAUGAUAUAUACCACACUAGAAAGGAAACAAUUUUAUGUAAAUUUAGGAUCAGAAAUGAUAACAAACGUGACUAUCUGAUAUGAUUAAAAACAGCAUAAAUAAUAAUUAACUUACUUUUUUGUGAUUGAAACGACACCAUUUAACUUAACGUGAAUCAGGAAAAAACACCAGAUAUAAUGACUAAUAACUACAAUAACUCACAUUUUUACCGAACACUUCAAUUCAAAACAAUUUAGGUAUAUGAAUUAGUUAAUUGUAUAAUUAAUAAACUAAUACUAUUAGAAUAUUGGUGUGUAAUAUAUAAUUGCACAUAUACGGCGCCAGCGCUGAACAGACUCGUUUCAUUUUUUUGGGAUCUUCGGGCGUCUACGUGUAUACACAAAGUAGUGUCCGAAGUAGAGAAGCUGCAUAGACCCGAGUGCUCCUGUUAUCCGAAUGCUGCUAUGGAAAAAAACCAAGAGCUUGAUUUUCUUGACUUAAAUUUUUUUAUUUUUGUUUCAAGCAAUAGCCACUAGUUGGUUUAAGAAAUCUGACUCCUUACGUAGAGAAGUUAAAUUUCAUAGAAUAAAAUAUUCAAUAUACAUGAAUGAAGAAAUUCAAAAUAUUAAUUCAAAAAACAAUUUACUUUCUUUAAAUAUUUUUUCUUUUUGAACUAAAAUCAUAUAUUUUUAAUUUAAAACUUUAACCCAUUUGGGUCGAAAAAAUAACUUUUUGAAUCAAAAUAAUCAAAAUUAAGAGAAAAUUUUCUUCAACCAAGAUUUAUUCCAUUUUCCUAAAUAUUCUCUUGACUCAAGAUAAUUCUCUUUGAACCAAGAUAACCUUUCGGUCAGUGUACCAUUGCUGAAAUUCCUUUAUUGACAUGGGUAUUUUUACCAUGUCAGUAUAGGAAUUUUUCCCAUGUUACUGGAGUAAUUUCUUCUAUGUUGACAUGGGAAUUUUUCCCAUGUUGACAAGGAAAAAAUUUCUCUGUUAACAUGGUAAAUAUUCCUAUGUUCACAUAGUAAAAAUAUCCAUGAUGGUAUGGGAAAAAUUCCCAUGUCAACAUAGGAAAAAUUGCAAUGUUGCAUGGAAAAAGUCCACAAGAAGCUGAAAUCACUAAAAUACCAAAUAUUUUGGUCAUUUUUAUCAUUUAGGCCUUAAAGCGAUAAAAUAGGGAUGUGUCAAGGUUUUAAGAUUUACGAAAAUAGAAUUUCAAAGUUUCCGAAAAAAUUUUGUGUAUUUUAAUUAAAAUUUUUUUGUAGCACCUACCAAACAACAAAUGUUUUUAUAAAUUCGAUUAAUAUAAAUGAGUAGGGGAAGAGGGGGCAAAAUGGGCCCCUAAAAUUUUGGAUGCCUCAAAAUAUUUGGGGCCAAAAUCCCCCCCCCCCUCCCAAAUUUUUAACAUAAAUAGUGUUUGAGCGGGGGAGGCGCAAAAUUGCCUCCCUCUCUUCCCCUAUAUAAUCAUCAAUUUAAUUAAUUAAUUUUGAUUAACUUAAUAACUUACGUAAAAAAAACAUCAAUUUACAAAUAUUUUACUUUUAUAUACAUGGAAAUUUCUACUUUGUUAA